rnacentral:rRNA from 1 species
GCCGCUCAGAACUUAAAUGAAUGACGGGGCCCGCACAAGCGGAGGAACAUGUGGUUUAAUUCGAUGAUACGCGAGGAACCUUACCUGGGCUAGAACGCAAUCGGAAUCAGGCCGAAAGGUCUGCGCCAGCGAUGGCCGGUUGCGAGGUGCUGCAUGGUUGUCGUCAGCUCGUGCCGUGAGGUGUCCGGGUUAAGUCCCCAUAACGAGCGCAACCCCUACUGCUAGUUGCCAGCGGGUCAUGCCGGGGACUCUAGCGGAACUGCCAGCGUAAGCUGCGAGGAAGGUGGGGAUGACGUCAAAUCAGCACGGCCCUUACGUCCAGGGCUACACACGUGUUACAAUGGCCAGUACAGAGGGCAGCCACCCCGCGAGGGGGCGCUAAUCCUAAAAGCUGGUCCCAGUUCGGAUCGGAGUCUGCAACCCGACUCCGUGAAGCUGGAUUCGCUAGUAAUCGCGCAUCAGCCACGGCGCGGUGAAUACGUUCCCGGGCCUU